rnacentral:rRNA from 1 species
UUAAAUUGAAGAGUUUGAUCAUGGCUCAGAUUGAACGCUGGCGGCAGGCCUAACACAUGCAAGUCGAGCGGUAGCACAGGAGAGCUUGCUCUCUGGGUGACGAGCGGCGGACGGGUGAGUAAUGUCUGGGAAACUGCCUGAUGGAGGGGGAUAACUACUGGAAACGGUAGCUAAUACCGCAUAACGUCUACGGACCAAAGUGGGGGACCUUCGGGCCUCACGCCAUCAGAUGUGCCCAGAUGGGAUUAGCUAGUAGGUGGGGUAAUGGCUCACCUAGGCGACGAUCCCUAGCUGGUCUGAGAGGAUGACCAGCCACACUGGAACUGAGACACGGUCCAGACUCCUACGGGAGGCAGCAGUGGGGAAUAUUGCACAAUGGGCGCAAGCCUGAUGCAGCCAUGCCGCGUGUGUGAAGAAGGCCUUAGGGUUGUAAAGCACUUUCAGCGAGGAGGAAGGGUAGUGUGUUAAUAGCACAUUACAUUGACGUUACUCGCAGAAGAAGCACCGGCUAACUCCGUGCCAGCAGCCGCGGUAAUACGGAGGGUGCAAGCGUUAAUCGGAAUUACUGGGCGUAAAGCGCACGCAGGCGGUUUGUUAAGUCAGAUGUGAAAUCCCCGCGCUUAACGUGGGAACUGCAUUUGAAACUGGCAAGCUAGAGUCUUGUAGAGGGGGGUAGAAUUCCAGGUGUAGCGGUGAAAUGCGUAGAGAUCUGGAGGAAUACCGGUGGCGAAGGCGGCCCCCUGGACAAAGACUGACGCUCAGGUGCGAAAGCGUGGGGAGCAAACAGGAUUAGAUACCCUGGUAGUCCACGCUGUAAACGAUGUCGAUUUGGAGGUUGUGCCCUUGAGGCGUGGCUUCCGGAGCUAACGCGUUAAAUCGACCGCCUGGGGAGUACGGCCGCAAGGUUAAAACUCAAAUGAAUUGACGGGGGCCCGCACAAGCGGUGGAGCAUGUGGUUUAAUUCGAUGCAACGCGAAGAACCUUACCUACUCUUGACAUCCAGAGAACUUUCCAGAGAUGGAUUGGUGCCUUCGGGAACUCUGAGACAGGUGCUGCAUGGCUGUCGUCAGCUCGUGUUGUGAAAUGUUGGGUUAAGUCCCGCAACGAGCGCAACCCUUAUCCUUUGUUGCCAGCGAUUCGGUCGGGAACUCAAAGGAGACUGCCGGUGAUAAACCGGAGGAAGGUGGGGAUGACGUCAAGUCAUCAUGGCCCUUACGAGUAGGGCUACACACGUGCUACAAUGGCGUAUACAAAGAGAAGCGAACUCGCGAGAGCAAGCGGACCUCAUAAAGUACGUCGUAGUCCGGAUUGGAGUCUGCAACUCGACUCCAUGAAGUCGGAAUCGCUAGUAAUCGUAGAUCAGAAUGCUACGGUGAAUACGUUCCCGGGCCUUGUACACACCGCCCGUCACACCAUGGGAGUGGGUUGCAAAAGAAGUAGGUAGCUUAACCUUCGGGAGGGCGCUUACCACUUUGUGAUUCAUGACUGGGGUGAAGUCGUAACAAGGUAACCGUAGGGGAACCUGCGGUUGGAUCACCUCCUUACCU